AGGGUUUGAUCAUGGCUCAGGAUGAACGCUGGCGGCGUGCUUAACACAUGCAAGUCGAACGAACCUUCGGGUUAGUGGCGGACGGGUGAGUAACGCGUGAGAAUCUGCCCUCAGGAGGGGGAUAACGGUUGGAAACGACCGCUAAUACCCCAUAUGCCUAUUGGUGAAAUGAAUUUCGCCUGAGGAUGAGCUCGCGUCUGAUUAGCUAGUUGGUGAGGUAAUGGCUCACCAAGGCUUCGAUCAGUAGCUGGUCUGAGAGGAUGAUCAGCCACACUGGGACUGAGACACGGCCCAGACUCCUACGGGAGGCAGCAGUGGGGAAUUUUCCGCAAUGGGCGAAAGCCUGACGGAGCAACGCCGCGUGAGGGACGAAGGCCUCUGGGCUGUAAACCUCUUUUCUCAAGGAAGAAGAUAUGACGGUACUUGAGGAAUAAGCCACGGCUAAUUCCGUGCCAGCAGCCGCGGUAAUACGGGAGUGGCAAGCGUUAUCCGGAAUUAUUGGGCGUAAAGCGUCCGCAGGCGGCUUUUCAAGUCUGCUGUUAAAGAGUGGAGCUUAACUCCAUCAUGGCAGUGGAAACUGAAAGGCUUGAGUAUGGUAGGGGCAGAGGGAAUUCCCGGUGUAGCGGUGAAAUGCGUAGAUAUCGGGAAGAACACCAGUGGCGAAGGCGCUCUGCUGGGCCAUUACUGACGCUCAUGGACGAAAGCCAGGGGAGCGAAAGGGAUUAGAUACCCCUGUAGUCCUGGCCGUAAACGAUGAACACUAGGUGUCGGGGGAAUCGACCCCUUCGGUGUCGUAGCUAACGCGUUAAGUGUUCCGCCUGGGGAGUACGCACGCAAGUGUGAAACUCAAAGGAAUUGACGGGGGCCCGCACAAGCGGUGGAGUAUGUGGUUUAAUUCGAUGCAACGCGAAGAACCUUACCAGGGUUUGACAUCCUGCGAACCUCUUAGAAAUUUGAGGGUGCCUUCGGGAAUGCAGUGACAGGUGGUGCAUGGCUGUCGUCAGCUCGUGUCGUGAGAUGUUGGGUUAAGUCCCGCAACGAGCGCAACCCACGUUUUUAGUUGCCAGCAUUUAGUUGGGCACUCUAGAAAGACCGCCGGUGAUAAACCGGAGGAAGGUGUGGAUGACGUCAAGUCAUCAUGCCCCUUACACCCUGGGCUACACACGUACUACAAUGCUACGGACAAAGGGCAGCAAACUCGCGAGAGCUAGCAAAUCCCAUAAACCGUGGCUCAGUUCAGAUCGUAGGCUGCAACUCGCCUACGUGAAGUAGGAAUCGCUAGUAAUCGCAGGUCAGCAUACUGCGGUGAAUACGUUCCCGGGCCUUGUACACACCGCCCGUCACACCAUGGAAGUUGGCCAUGCCCGAAGUCGUUACUCCAACCCUUGUGGAGGAGGACGCCGAAGGUGGGGCUAAUGACUGGGGUGAAGUCGUAACAAGGUAACCGUA
rnacentral:rRNA from 1 species